rnacentral:tRNA from 1 species
CACAGUGUAGCUUAAUAAAAAGCGUCUGGCUUACACCCAGAGGAAUUCAUUAAAU